rnacentral:tRNA from 1 species
UCCCUGGUGGCUCAGAUGGUAAAGCAUCUGCCUACAAUGCAGGAGACCUGGGUUUGAUCCCUGGGUCGGGAA